UACGUAGGGUGCGAGCGUUGUCCGGAAUUACUGGGCGUAAAGAGCUCGUAGGUGGUUUGUCGCGUUGUUCGUGAAAACUCACAGCUUAACUGUGGGCGUGCGGGCGAUACGGGCAGACUGGAGUACUGCAGGGGAGACUGGAAUUCCUGGUAUAGCGGUGGAAUGCGCAGAUAUCAGGAGGAACACCAAUGGCGAAGGCAGAUCUCUGGGCCGUAACUGACGCUGAGGAGCGAAAGCAUGGGGAGCGAACAGG
rnacentral:rRNA from 1 species